rnacentral:rRNA from 1 species
AUCAACUUUCGAUGGUAGGAUAGAGGCCUACCAUGGUGGUAACGGGUAACGGGGUGUUAGGGCACGACACCGGAGAGGGAGCCUGAGAAACGGCUACCACAUCCAAGGAUGGCAGCAGGCGCGCAAAUUACCCAAUCCCGACACGGGGAGGUAGUGACAAUAAAUAACAAUACGGGGUUCUUUCGGAUUUCGUAAUUGGAAUGAGUACAAUUUAAAUCUCUUAACGAGGAACAAUUGGAGGGCAAGUCUGGUGCCAGCAGCCGCGGUAAUUCCAGCUCCAAUAGCGUAUAUUAAAGUUGUUGCAGUUAAAAAGCUCGUAGUUGAAUUUCGGGAUCAAUAUAUCGGUCGUGCCUUCGGUAUGCACUGGUAUUAUUGAUUUCUACCUUCUGACGAAUCGUGAUGUCAUUAAUUUGGUGUCAUGGGGAAUCAGGACUGUUACUUUGAAAAAAUUAGAGUGUUUAAAGCAGGCACACGCUUGAAUACAUUAGCAUGGAAUAAUGAAAUAGGACGUUUGAUCUUAUUUUGUUGGUUUCUAGGAUCGACGUAAUGAUUAAUAGGGAUAGUUGGGGGCAUUAGUAUUCAAUUGUCAGAGGUGAAAUUCUUGGAUUUAUUGAAGACUAACUACUGCGAAAGCAUUUGCCAAGGAUGUUUUCAUUAAUCAAGAACGAAAGUUAGGGGAUCGAAGACGAUCAGAUACCGUCGUAGUCUUAACCAUAAACUAUGCCGACUAGGGAUCGGAUGAUGUUAAUUUUUUAAUGACUCAUUCGGCGCCUUACGGGAAACCAAAGUGUUUGGGUUC